rnacentral:rRNA from 1 species
AGGAAGCAGCUUGCUGCUUUGCUGACGAGUGGCGGACGGGUGAGUAAUGUCUGGGAAACUGCCUGAUGGAGGGGGAUAACUACUGGAAACGGUAGCUAAUACCGCAUAACGUCGCAAGACCAAAGAGGGGGACCUUCGGGCCUCUUGCCAUCGGAUGUGCCCAGAUGGGAUUAGCUAGUAGGUGGGGUAAAGGCUCACCUAGGCGACGAUCCCUAGCUGGUCUGAGAGGAUAACCAGCCACACUGGAACUGAGACACGGUCCAGACUCCUACGGGAGGCAGCAGUGGGGAAUAUUGCACAAUGGGCGCAAGCCUGAUGCAGCCAUGCCGCGUGUAUGAAGAAGGCCUUCGGGUUGUAAAGUACUUUCAGCGGGGAGGAAGGGAGUAAAGUUAAUACCUUUGCUCAUUGACGUUACCCGCAGAAGAAGCACCGGCUAACUCCGUGCCAGCAGCCGCGGUAAUACGGAGGGUGCAAGCGUUAAUCGGAAUUACUGGGCGUAAAGCGCACGCAGGCGGUUUGUUAAGUCAGAUGUGAAAUCCCCGGGCUCAACCUGGGAACUGCAUCUGAUACUGGCAAGCUUGAGUCUCGUAGAGGGGGGUAGAAUUCCAGGUGUAGCGGUGAAAUGCGUAGAGAUCUGGAGGAA